AAAGUGCCUAAACACGGAAAU
rnacentral:snRNA from 1 species